rnacentral:rRNA from 1 species
ACUCCUACGGGAGGCAGCAGUGGGGAAUAUUGCACAAUGGGCGCAAGCCUGAUGCAGCGACSCCSCGUGAGGGAUGAAGGCCUUCGGGUUGUAAACCUCUUUCAGCAGGGAAGAAGCGAAAGUGACGGUACCUGCAGAAGAAGCGCCGGCUAACUACGUGCCAGCAGCCGCGGUAAUACGUAGGGCGCAAGCGUUGUCCGGAAUUAUUGGGCGUAAAGAGCUCGUAGGSGGUUUGUCGCGUCUGCUGUGAAAACCUGAGGCUCAACCUCGGGCUUGCAGKGGGUACGGGCAGACUAGAGUGCGGUAGGGGUGACUGGAAUUCCUGGUGUAGCGGUGGGAUGCGCAGAUAUCAGGAGGAACACCGAUGGCGAAGGCAGGUCACUGGGCCGSAACUGACGCUGAGGAGCGAAAGCAUGGGGAGCGAACAGGAUUAGAUACUCUGGUAGUCCAUGCCGUAAACGUUGGGCGCUAGGUGUGGGGCUCAUUCCACGAGUUCCGUGCCGCAGCAAACGCAUUAAGUGCCCCGCCUGGGGAGUACGGCCGCAAGGCUAAAACUCAAAGGAAUUGACGG